AUUGAACGCUGGCGGCAUGCCUUACACAUGCAAGUCGAACGGCAGCGCGGGGCAACCUGGUGGCGAGUGGCGAACGGGUGAGUAAUGCAUCGGAACGUACCUUUCAGUGGGGGAUAACGUAGCGAAAGUUACGCUAAUACCGCAUAUUCUGUGAGCAGGAAAGCAGGGGAUCGCAAGACCUUGCGCUGAUUGAGCGGCCGAUGUCAGAUUAGCUAGUUGGUGAGGUAAAGGCUCACCAAGGCGACGAUCUGUAGCGGGUCUGAGGGGAUGAUCCGCCACACUGGAACUGAGACACGGUCCAGACUCCUACGGGAGGCAGCAGUGGGGAAUUUUGGACAAUGGGGGCAACCCUGACCCAGCCAUGCCGCGUGAGUGAAGAAGGCCUUCGGGUUGUAAAGCUCUUUCGGCCGGGAAGAAAUCGCACGGGCUAAUACCCUGUGUGGAUGACGGUACCGGAAUAAGAAGCACCGGCUAACUACGUGCCAGCCGCCGCAGUAA
rnacentral:rRNA from 1 species